UGAUCCAUUAAUAAUAGAGUUUUGUCACUUACAGGGGCAGUGCGCAGAGGGUGGCUGAGCUGACGGAGAUAACGGCCUACAACAGGGAGUCUCUGGCUAACCUCAUAGACACGAAGACGAACUCCUACACCAGUAUCGGCGCUGGCCUUUCCUUGGCUAUUAAUGACCCGCUGGUGAUCAAGGACAAGAAGAACGCCAUCAUUCUCUUAAUUACUGACGGAGAGGAAACGAAAAAACCGCACAUCAGCGACGUCAUGACCAACGUCAUCAAUUCAGGAGCCAGAGUCGUCACAGUCGCCUUCGGGAAAGACGCAGACAUGGCCCUGGAAAGUCUGGCAAUGAAUACAGGAGGAAAGACCUACUCUGUGUUGGACGAAGAUGAUGGUGGCAUGUUGGAUGAGGCGUUUCUGGGUGCCCUCACCUACCAGCCUGGACAAUCACUCUCAAACAUCAGU